CAGUCGCCACGGUAAUACGUAGGGUGCGAGCGUUAAUCGGAAUUACUGGGCGUAAAGCGUGCGCAGGCGGUUGUGUAAGACAGGUGUGAAAUCCCCGGGCUUAACCUGGGAACUGCGCUUGUGACUGCACAGCUAGAGUAUGGCAGAGGGGGAUGGAAUUCCGCGUGUAGCAGUGAGAUGCGUAGAUAUGCGGAGGAACACCGAUGGCGAAGGCAAUCCCCUGGGCCUGCACUGACGCUCAUGCACGAAAGCGUGGGGAGUAAACAGGAUUAGAUACCCCUGUAGUCCCUGUCUCUUAUAC
rnacentral:rRNA from 1 species